rnacentral:rRNA from 1 species
GACCUUACCCGAUUAGCUGAGAGGUGGUGCAUGGCCGUCGUCAGUUCGUACUGUGAAGCAUCCUGUUAAGUCAGGCAACGAGCGAGACCCACGUCCACAGUUGCCAGCAUACCCUCCGGGGUGAUGGGUACACUGUGGAGACCGCCGCUGCUAAAGCGGAGGAAGGAGUGGGCAACGGUAGGUCAGUAUGCCCCGAAUCUCCCGGGCUACACGCGGGCUACAAUGGUUGGUACAAUGGGCAUCUACCCCGAAAGGGGAAGGAAAUCUCUUAAAGCCAAUCGUAGUUCGGAUUGAGGGCUGCAACUCGCCCUCAUGAAGCUGGAAUCCGUAGUAAUCGCGUUUCAACAGAACGCGGUGAAUACGUCCCUGCUCCUU